rnacentral:rRNA from 1 species
GAUGAACGCUGGCGGCGUGCCUAAUACAUGCAAGUCGAGCGAACAGACGAGGAGCUUGCUCCUCUGACGUUAGCGGCGGACGGGUGAGUAACACGUGGAUAACCUACCUAUAAGACUGGGAUAACUUCGGGAAACAGGAGCUAAUACCGGAUAAUAUAUUGAACCGCAUGGUUCAAUAGUGAAAGACGGUUUUGCUGUCACUUAUAGAUGGAUCAGCGCCGCAUUAGCUAGUUGGUAAGGUAACGGCUUACCAAGGCGACGAUGCGGAGCCGACCUGAGAGCGUGAUCCGCUAGCCUGGAACUGAGACACGGUCCACACUCCUACGGGAGGAAGCAGUAGGGAAUCUUCCGCGAUGGGCCAGUGCCUGACGGUGCAACGUCGCGUGAGUGAUGAAGGUCUUCGGACCGUAAAGCUCUGUUAUCAGUGAAGUACAAAUGUGUAAGUAACUAUGCACGUCUUGACGGUACCUAAUCAGAAAGCCACGGCUAACUACGUG